UUAAAAAAAAAAAACCAAAUGGGGUUAACGGUUCCCUAAAUACGUCACUUGAUUAUAACUCAUAAUAAUCCCGGAUAAUUUAUUAUAACAGACGGCCGUGUGAACGAGAUUCCAGAUUUUCGUUCGAAUCGUACAAUUUCUUUCGAGUGUAUAUUAUAAUAACUACAUCGUCGUCGACGGCGUCGAGGAACGUUCAAUUAUUUUCACAAUGCCGUUUUAUAUACGUCUGAUCAAUAUUAAUGUUUCCAGU